rnacentral:rRNA from 1 species
UACGUAGGGGGGCUAGCGUUGUCCGGAAUCAUUGGGCGUAAAGCGCGUGUAGGCGGUCCGGUAAGUCCGCUGUGAAAGUCGGGGGCUCAACCCUCGGAUGCCGGUGGAUACUGUCGGGCUUGAGUACGGAAGAGGCGAGUGGAAUUCCUGGUGUAGCGGUGAAAUGCGCAGAUAUCAAGGAGGAACACCAAUUGCGAAGGCAGCUCGCUGGGACGUUAACUGACGCU